rnacentral:rRNA from 1 species
AGCUGAGUUUGAUCCUGGCUCAGAUUGAACGCUGGCGGAAUGCUUUACACAUGCAAGUCGAACGGUAGAGGGGGGCAACCCCUUGAGAGUGGCGAACGGGUGAGUAAUAUAUCGGAACGUGCCCAGUCGUGGGGGGAUAACGUAGUGAAAUUACGCUAUACCGCAUACGAUCUAAGGAUGAAAGCGGGGGAUCCCAACGACCUCGCGCGACUGGAGCGGCCGAUAUCAGAUUAGGUAGUUGGUAGGGUAAACGGCCUACCAAGCCAACGAUCUGUAGCUGGUCUGAGAGGACGACCAGCCACACUGGAACUGAGAGACGGUCCAGACUCCGUA